GUGUAACUCAGUGUUAGAGUGUGUGCUUAGCACGCAUGAUGUCCUGGGUUCAAUUCCCAACAC
rnacentral:tRNA from 1 species